UUGAACGCUGGCGGCAUGCUUUACACAUGCAAGUCGAACGGCAGCGGGGGCUUCGGCCUGCCGGCGAGUGGCGAACGGGUGAGUAAUGCAUCGGAACAUAUCCGGAAGUGGGGGAUAACGUACCGAAAGGUACGCUAAUACCGCAUAUGCCCCGAGGGGGAAAGGGGGGGAUCGCAAGACCUCUCGCUUUCGGAGUGGCCGAUAUCGGAUUAGCUAGAUGGUGGGGUAAAGGCUCACCAUGGCGACGAUCCGUAGCUGGUCUGAGAGGACGACCAGCCACACUGGGACUGAGACACGGCCCAGACUCCUACGGGAGGCAGCAGUGGGGAAUUUUGGACAAUGGGGGCAACCCUGAUCCAGCCAUGCCGCGUGAGUGAAGAAGGCCUUCGGGUUGUAAAGCUCUUUCAGACGGAAAGAAACGGUCGCGGCGAAUACCCGCGACUAAUGACGGUACCGUAAGAAGAAGCACCGGCUAACUACGU
rnacentral:rRNA from 1 species